rnacentral:rRNA from 1 species
UACGUAGGGUGCGAGCGUUGUCCGGAAUUAUUGGGCGUAAAGAGCUCGUAGGCGGUCUGUCGCGUCUGCUGUGAAAACCCGAGGCUCAACCUCGGGCCUGCAGUGGGUACGGGCAGACUAGAGUGCGGUAGGGGAGAAUGGAACUCCUGGUGUAGCGGUGGAAUGCGCAGAUAUCAGGAAGAACACCAAUGGCGAAGGCAGCUUGCUGGGACGGUACUGACGCUGAGGCGCGAAAGCGUGGGGAGCAAACAGG